rnacentral:lncRNA from 1 species
CAGAUAAAAAAUUCAGAUAAUGUGGGAUUUGACAUUGCUUAUUUUUUGAGUGAUUGUUUGCAGGAAAGAUCAGAUAACAUGAUUGAUUCAUAUAGGUCUUGUGAGGGGGAUGAUUUUUUUUCACACAAUACUGAGCAAGAACAAUCACCUAGUCUGGAUUAUGCUAAUCUGGAUAAGUUUAAUAUUUCACCUGAAUGCUUGAAAAUGAUUUAUUCCAAGUGCAUGGAAGAGGUUUCUGAUUUUCGUUCCACAUCGGAGUUUGGAAAGGAAAAUAGAAAGAGAAGGAAGAGACAUGACAACUACCUUGACUGUACAGACUGGUGGAAAGGCAAGUCAGAACUCAGCAAAAAACUCUCUCUCAAGAAGAUAUUGGAGAAAGAUGUAGGAAUGGAUGUGAUGCCUCCAGCAUUCGUUAAUGGAUGCUUGACAUACCAGAUGAGAAGAGAUAAGAUUGAGGCGGCUAAGGCACGCAUUAAAAACAUCAUGUUUCCAUCGAAUGCUGGUUUACAUGCUGGGUNUUGAAUUUUUCGGUUCCAUCUAUAGAUGAGGUUAAAAAAAUGAUUGUAACUAUUACUGAAGGUGAGUAUGGUCAAGGUGAUUGGUUUAGUAUAUUUGUUGGUGCGUGUGCUUAUGUUGUUCGGAGGAAAAAUGGGAACCUUCUGCCUAUGACGGAUGUGGCUGCUGUAGUCUGCUGUGAUACUUAUGAGUUAGGAAGAAUGGUUAAUCGAGUUGUUAGUUUUCUUGACUUGAAGUUGCCUGAAUUUGAUAUUGUUUAUUUGUAUGAAACUACACUUAGAAAUAGCCCGAGCUUUAGUUGCAUUGAAGCUGAGAAAAAGGAGGUGAUGUUAAAACAGGGGGUGUUUUUGGUGCAGUGUUUAAUAAAGUGGUUUGUGACAACAGGGAGAAGGCCGGUGCAGGUUGUAGUGUCAGUUUUGGCAUUUAUUGGACAGUUAAAUCAGGUAAAUGUUAAAAUUGAGGAUUUGGCUAGUGAAUUGAAUGUGCCUGCUGUCACUUGUAGAUUGAGGUAUAAGGAGUUGUUAGAGAGGCUUGUGGAGGUUGCAAGAGUGUUGCCAUGGGGAAAAGAUGUUAAUGUAAAGAAUAUUGUGAAAUUUGCACCAUAUGUCAUUCAAUAUAUGGAAAUGAAGUCGAUGGGUAAUGGUCUAAAACAGAUAAAAAAUUCAGAUAAUGUGGGAUUUGACAUUGCUUAUUUUUUGAGUGAUUGUUUGCAGGAAAGAUCAGAUAACAUGAUUGAUUCAUAUAGGUCUUGUGAGGGGGAUGAUUUUUUUUCACACAAUACUGAGCAAGAACAAUCACCUAGUCUGGAUUAUGCUAAUCUGGAUAAGUUUAAUAUUUCACCUGAAUGCUUGAAAAUGAUUUAUUCCAAGUGCAUGGAAGAGGUUUCUGAUUUUCGUUCCACAUCGGAGUUUGGAAAGGAAAAUAGAAAGAGAAGGAAGAGACAUGACAACUACCUUGACUGUACAGACUGGUGGAAAGGCAAGUCAGAACUCAGCAAAAAACUCUCUCUCAAGAAGAUAUUGGAGAAAGAUGUAGGAAUGGAUGUGAUGCCUCCAGCAUUCGUUAAUGGAUGCUUGACAUACCAGAUGAGAAGAGAUAAGAUUGAGGCGGCUAAGGCACGCAUUAAAAACAUCAUGUUUCCAUCGAAUGCUGGUUUACAUGCUGGGUACAGCCAUUGCCUUUCAACAACUGCUAAAAAGGAGAAGAAGAAAAAGAAACGACAUGUAGAUGUUGAUUGGGAAGAUCUUAUAAUUGAAACUCUUCUUCUGCAUCAGGUGAAGGAAGAAGAAAUAGAGAAGGGGUAUUACAAAACCUUGAUGGACUUGCAUGUUUUUAACUCAGGUUGUUUUGAAUGAUCUCAACUGUACGCAGGUAUAUUCAGCUGCAGUGAGACAUCCUGGAAGAGAUUAUGCUGGCGAUAGAUGGAUUCAUCUUUUAUUUGUAAUCGGAGAUUGAUACAUGAACAUGUUUUUUUUUGAUGAUGAGCAUUGAGUGAAAUUAUAAGAUAUAAAUAUAACCGGAGAUUGUGCUUAGACUAAUAUAAUAUAACUUAUCGUAGUAGUUUUAGCUCUCAAUCUGUUGAUCACUUGCCCGUAAUUAAGGUAACUGACAUUGUUGGUAGUACCAUUAGUAGAUCCAGGGAUCUUGAUUAUCUUAUUCUGUCAUGAUGCAAAGACUUUUAGUGGCAUGGAACCUCGUCUAUUACAGGUUGAUUGGCCUUGUUUGUCUUCCUGGCUUUUAUACCAAUCGAGCUAUUAUACCAUACAGAAAAUUUUAGUCUUUCCCACCAGUUAUUGUGAUUCCUUGUGUCAGAUUAUUUGCAAAGUCUAGACAUUGUUUAUAAGAAUGUUAUUUUCUGCAUUUCGGCAGAAUUGCUAUUAUGUUCCUCCCAUAGCUGCAGCUGCAAGGACUCCUGGUUAGACUCUCCCCUCCCUCCCUUCACAGGCUGGAAAUAUUUUUAUUCAUGGACCCUGAACAUUUUCUUAUGCGGAUCUUUGCCUGUAAAACUUUAGUUAAGAGCUACUUGCCUGUUAGAGAUGCCAG